rnacentral:tRNA from 1 species
GCCUUCAUGGUGUAGCGGUCAGCAUGCUUGACGCGUAUUUGAAAGAUUCGUGGUUCGAAUCCCGGUGAUGGCA